UUAAGUUCAGCGGGUAUCCUACCUGAUCCGAGUCAACCUUGAGAUGGGUUUUACGGCGUCGAACCGACGCGUCCCACAAGCGGAUUGAGUUGCCACAACGCUUUGAGACGGACGGCUCAGCCGGAGACAUUGGGGCGCGCCGUCGCGGCGACGCCCAAUACCCAGCCAGGCUGGAGUGGUGAAAUGACGCUCGAACAGGC
rnacentral:misc_RNA from 1 species